GAUGAACGCUGGCGGCGUGCCUAAUACAUGCAAGUCGAGCGAACAGACGAGGAGCUUGCUCCUCUGACGUUAGCGGCGGACGGGUGAGUAACACGUGGAUAACCUACCUAUAAGACUGGGAUAACUUCGGGAAACCGGAGCUAAUACCGGAUAAUAUAUUGAACCGCAUGGUUCAAUAGUGAAAGACGGUUUUGCUGUCACUUAUAGAUGAAUCCGCGCCGCAUUAGCUAGUUGGUAAGGUAACGGCUUACCAAGGCAACGAUGCGUAGCCGACCUGAGAGGGUGGUCGGCCACACUGGAACUGAGACACGGUCCAGACUCCUACGGGAGGCAGCAGUAGGGAAUCUUCCGCAAUGGGCGAAAGCCUGACGGAGCAACGCCGCGUGAGUGAUGAAGGUCUUCGGAUCGUAAAACUCUGUUAGUAGGGAAGAACAAAUGUGUAAGUAACUAUGCACGUCUUGACGGUACCUAAUCAGAAAGCCACGGCUAACUACGUG
rnacentral:rRNA from 1 species